rnacentral:antisense_RNA from 1 species
GCCUCCUGUUUUUCUAUCUAAUAAAGUAAAUCCUGAAGUUAGUGUGAAUCCUGUUUGACAAAGAAUAUCGCGCAGUCAGCAUUUCAGAGUGGCACGAAAGAGCCUGUGUUGUCAAACCACUUUGCCAGAGCUGCCUUCUCCCCACCCUGUUUGUUUGCCUGCCAAAGACUGUCAUGGUUUCUGGAAGAAAAGACUCAAGAUGUUCUCAGUAGCUGCUGUUUUCAGACAUCAUGAAAGUCUUCUCCUACCCUCUAUAAAAACAAACAAACAAUAAAACUCUACAAAGGAAAAGCCCAUAAAAACAUGCUGACUUUAGAAGAAUCCACGAUUUAGAAUAUUUUUAUAAAUACCUAAGAAAACAGGAGUCCUUUCCAUAUAUAUGGUCCUUGGAGAUAUUUUCCAUAUAUAUGGUCCUUGGAGAAUCCAGUUUUUAUGAGAAAGGUGAUUUCCAAAAUCUCUUACACUUUACAAUUUCAAUUUUGGCCUGAGCAUAUCUCUCGAUUGAUCUACCUACCUACAUACUGAUCUAUCUUGGAUAGAGCACUGGACAAAAGGUAGGCACUGUUUACAAUCCACUGACAAGAAAACACAUGAAGAAGCAAACCCCACAGCGCUCUGAAACCUGGAAGAGAUGGGUUCCACAUGGGUCUGAUGGGAUUA